rnacentral:tRNA from 1 species
CCUCGGAUGGCUCAAAUGGUAAGAACCUGCCUGCAGUGCAGGAGACCCAGGUUCGAUCCCUGGGCUGGGAA